rnacentral:misc_RNA from 1 species
AUGAUAUGCAUGUUAUAAAUGAACUACUGUGUUCUCUCUUCCAACCCCCUUCAAAUAUCAACGCAAAUUUCCAUGUAUUCAGUAGAUAGAAAUAUUUAUUUUUAUAAGGCAUAUUUAGGUAUCAUCAGCAUAUCUAAUUCAGUUGUUGCUAUUAGGCAAUGCUACUUGAUUGAUUUGUUUAUAUGGAAAAGAGAGUCUAUAUGAACUCUUUUCCCCACCAUUCUACCAAUUAUAAAUUUCAUUAUGUCCUUUUCUGUCUGUUUGUAGAAUUGUGUGCAAGUGCGGUUCGU